AUACGGAGGGUGCGAGCGUUAAUCGGAAUUACUGGGCGUAAAGCGCGCGUAGGCGGUUUGGUCAGUCGGAUGUGAAAGCCCCAGGCUCAACCUGGGAAUGGCAUUCGAUACUGCCUGACUAGAGUAUGGUAGAGGGAAGUGGAAUUUCCGGUGUAGCGGUGAAAUGCGUAGAUAUCGGAAGGAACACCAGUGGCGAAGGCGACUUCCUGGGCCAAUACUGACGCUAAGGUGCGAAAGCGUGGGGAGCAAACAGGAUUAGAAACCCCAGUAGUCC
rnacentral:rRNA from 1 species